CGCGUAGGCGGACUAAUAAGUCAGUGGUGAAAUCUCUCGGCUCAACCGGGAAACUGCCAUUGAUACUGUUAGUCUUGAGUUCGGUUGAGGUAGGCGGAAUGUGUAAUGUAGCGGUGAAAUGCUUAGAUAUUACACAGAACACCAAUUGCGUAGGCAGCUUACUAGACCGACACUGACGCUGAGGCACGAAAGCGUGGGUAGCGAACAGGAUUAGAUACCCUGGUAGUCC
rnacentral:rRNA from 1 species